UGUUAAUCGAAUUUUUGACUUUGCUUCCGCAUUUGAUAUUUUUAAUAUACAUUCCAUUAUGAAUUUCCGGGGCUGUUACAGUUGGUAUCAAAGCCGCAUUUCCUCGAACCCAUCCCUUACACAAUAGUGCCUUAGAGAAAUACUCACCGAUAUAUCGUUACUCAAUCAUUCCUUGUGAAUGCAGGUACACAGGAAUGAGGAGAGGAAGGCCCCCACUAAACCGAGCGGCCCCAGAUAAUUCACUUCGGGAGGAUUU
rnacentral:lncRNA from 1 species